AGUGAUUUUAUUCUUAUAAUUUUUAAUUAACUUUCUAUGUCAGAAUUGAGUGUGUCUUUAAAACAGGCUCACAGUUGCUUCAAGUAAGUUAGACUGGUUUAACUUAGGGUUAGUAAUUUUAAAUAGAACCUAAAUUCUUGGACGGUUUAUGAGGUUUGAAUAUACUGGAAUUGCAUGUUAGAUGCAGUAACUGUUAAUAAACUUCAAAUCCUGUGACAUGUGUACACAGUCAAUAUAUUGUUAAGUCACUGCAUUUUCUAGGUUGUGAUUCCAUAUAUUCCUAUAGGUGGAUACUAGGGUCAUGGUAUUUUGACCAUGCAGGUUGGCAUAGUCAUUAGUUCUUUAAUUGUGGAUUAAUUCAAAGGAACAUGCUGCCUCAAUCUAAAGGAUUGAGGCAAGGUUGUCUGGGCAAGGCAUGUUUCCCCAAUCUCGUCGACCCAAAAGGGGACAGCAGCAGGUUCCUCCAAAACAUUGGUAACCUUCUACAGUAAUGUACUGUCAAAUUCCAAAAGACCAAAAUUCAAACAUUCACCACUGUGACAACAAUCUUACAUUGUUGCCUACUGUUUACUGUGUGUAAAGAAAAAAUAUACUUGAAAAGUGUUGGAUUCUAGGAUGUAAUAUUGUUCAUCUGGUAGAAGUUUAGCCAUUUUUUGGAGGAAUGUAGUGCCUAUAUGUUCAGGGUCAAUGAGUAAGCCAAGCAAACAGUAGAAAAUUUACUUGCUUGUUUACUUGUUCAGUUUACUUCUUGACCCUGAAGAUGGAAGCAGCACAUUCUUGUGAAAUGUCAGUAAACUUUUAAUGGAGUACAUAGUGUCACAUCUCAAAAGAGAGUUCUCCUCAUAGUCACCAAUCCGAGAAACUCAGAUCUAACAAAGAGUACACUUUUGCCCAACAAUUCUCCAGGAACAAUCCAGAACAUUCUUGAAAUAGUAUGUUUUAUCUUUCAUGUUACGCCCGUAAAUACAGUCAUACUGCAAGCCAUUCACUGUAUGGUUAAAAAAGAAAGUAUUUAUGGUUGUAUGUUGUCUGUCCUUUUGUUUUAUUACUUUUUAUUCUUUAUUUAUGAUAUUUUAUUUUUUCUAGGUUUGGAAAGACAAUCCAGUAGAAUUUGACUCUGUUUUCAAUGAAAAUUGGUACACAUGGUCCUGGGGAAGUCCUGACAUACUUCCCAUGUUUGCCAAAGGUUUAUUGUUUUAAUAUGUAAUGUAUCGAAGUACUUAUCUUUAUUUCUCUGAAGACAUAAGAUUAAGGUUAUGUAAGGAUGUAAUCUUAUGUAGUUUGGUAAAGAAGGAGUGAAGUUUUGGGUAUCCCUAAGAUGGAAGGAGCAGGUUUAUGUCCAAAAUGUUGAUUUCUAUCUACCAAACUACACGUUGCAGGAAACAGCAAUUUUAAUAUCCACCACGGUGAGAACCUCAAAUGUCACCCUUGAAGACUUCUUUAAAUGUAACUCUGCCUACCCUUGCUGCAACAUGUAAAUGGCAGCAAGUCCCUGCAAUUGCAUUGUUACCUUAUUUUUAGAUCUUCCUUGGUAUGUGGUAAUAAAUUUAUAGUAAUUUUUGGUAAUAGAAAUACCACAGGAGCAUAAUGUUGCCAUUUGUGGAUAAGAAGAUGAAAUGACUAACACAAUCUAAGUGCAACUUAGAAGCAUCUUACAGAUGUAGUAUGGCUGUUUCACCAAAGCAGCCUUCUAUGUCUCAGAAGCAUUGUUAGUUAACAGUGAGAUAAACCUUUCAUAUUUUUGUUCAGGUGCAAGUGGAAACCAUGUUUAUAUAGACAUGUAUGGCUUUGAAGUUGAAGAUUACUCUGGAAGAAGAUCCACAACAAGGCUUGAUACAUGGGUGUUCAGGAAGGUUGAGGAAUUUCUGAACCGUGCCAAGACAGAUGCUGUUCUUAAUUAAAAACUUAAUCAAGAUAAAAUUGUAUUUUUCCUACAUCUUCUUGGACUUGAUACAGCUUUUCAUACAGAUAAACCAUAUUCAGUAGACUACGAGGAGAACAUAAAGAGUUGUUGAUGCAGGAAUCGAGAGAAUUGAGGAAAUGAUCGAAGAGUUUUAUCAACAUGACAGGAAGACAGGUUACAUAUUCACAUCUGAUCAUGACAUGACAGACUGGGGUGAGGAAUGCAUUAUCUGCUUUCUAUACAAGAUUCCCAUGGAGCAGGUGAUAAGAAUGAGACAGACACACCCUUGGUUGCCUGGGGUACAGGUGUGACAGGACCCCGACUGACUACAAGCGCUGAACCUUCCUGUCCAGCUUCCUGGAGACUGGGACAUUUGUCUCGCAGUGAUGUUAGUCAGGUAGAUGUUGCACCACUAAUGGCAAGCCUGAUCGGAGUCCCUGUGCCAGUAAAUUAUGCGGUGGUGCAGCAGCGAAUACAUGGCAACAGCUGUGUUUGUUGAGGAGGUUGGCAACCUCUUCGAUAGUUUCAAUGGUGGAACAAGUGUUGGCCGAAGGAAAACACUGCGUUGCCCACUCAGAGACAAGAGUCCCCAUAUAGAGCUCUGGAAAAAGGCAAGUAUGGGGAUAAAGAGUUGGAUCUUCCUCAAGGAUGGUAAACCCGCCUUUCUUCAUCCUCCUCCUUCACAGAAAGGGUGGCUGAUUGACAUCACUGCUGCCCAGCAUGUGUGGAAGACACUGAAAGAGGCAGGUUUUCAGCACCUUCACACCAAAAACCUGAAUCAGGACCCCCUGGAGAACACAUUUGGAGCUAUUCAUUUGAACUGUGGUUCAAACAAUAACCCAACUGUGGGACAGUUUGUAGAUGCCAUGAAGACUAGCAUCAUCAAUGGCCUUGCAUUUAGAGGACUGGGGGAAACUAAUUGUGAGGAUGAUGGUCUACUCUUCUGGAUAAUCUACAGUCACUUUUCAGGGCACCUGAAGCUGCUUCACGAAAUCCUUCCACACGUCAUGACAAGGAAACCCCUGCUACUGUGCCUGAGAGGUUCCAUGUUGCUCAGCAAGUACAGAUGGAUAUGAGUCCUGCAGUACCUGCUGGUGACAUGGAAGUGUUCUCAGUAGCUUAUGUCAGUGGUUCCAUUGCCAGACAGGUGCUUCGCGGUGUCAGCUGUGAUGUAUGCAAGACAUCUGAAAUGCUGCUAUCAGCCAAUGUCUUCAUAUAUUUCAAGGAGUGCAGUGAUACAGAACAGUCUCUCACAUAUCCUUCUGAGAAGCUUGUGGAGACUGUUGGUACUGCUGUAACUCUGAUGGAGUCUAUAAUGACAGAGGCUGCCCACUUGAAUUCAGUGGAGCAGCAUAUCACAGCUGCCAUCAAUAGCACCAUUGACUUCGAGUGGAUUAGGUGUUCUGGCUGUUCGCUUCACCACCAAAGAAUAGUAGAUAGUAUUGUGAGAUGUCUCACAUGAAUUUACAUUCCUUGAUGGUGUAAGCGAAGAAACAGGUUGAUGACUGA